UAAGCGGAGGAAAAGAAACUAACAAGGAUUCCCCCAGUAAGCGGCGAGUGAAAUGGGAAAAGCUCAACUUUGAAAUCUGGCUGUUUUACAGUCCGAGUUGUAGUCUCGAGAAGUGUUUUCCGCGUUAAACCGUGUAUGAGUCUGUUGGAACACAGCGUCAUAGAGGGUGAGAACCCCGUUCAUGACACGGCUUUUAAUGCUUUGUGAUACACUUUCGAUGAGUCGAGUUGUUUGGGAAUGCAGCUCAAAUUGGGUGGUAAAUUCCAUCUAAAGCUAAAUAUUGGCGAGAGACCGAUAGCAAACAAGUACCGUGAGGGAAAGAUGAAAAGCACUUUGGAAAGAGAGUUAAAAGUACGUGAAAUUGUCGAAAGGGAAACGCUUGAAGUCAGACGUGCACGGGAUUUAUUCCUAUUGCAGGCCAACAUCGGUUUUACGAGCCGGAUAAAGGUACAAGGAAGGUAGCAGUUUCGGCUGUGUUAUAGCCUCGUACUGAAUACGGAUUGUGAGACCGAGGGACGCACCGCGCCGCAAGGCAAAGGGUCCGCCCUUUUCGCGCUUAGGAUGUUGGUGAAAUGGCUUUAAUCGACCCGUCUUGAAA
rnacentral:rRNA from 1 species